AGCUGUUCCCCUCUGGAGGUUUAGAUACCUUCAUAACUUACAAGGGCCCAAGUUUUUACUUGUGGCCCUCUUUUUUUGCCCAU
rnacentral:misc_RNA from 1 species